rnacentral:lncRNA from 1 species
UACCCAACUCAAAAUCGGGUCGACCCGACCCAACCCAACACCCAAAAACCCAUUUCCCCACCUAAAAAAUCGUAAUGCCUGUCUUGAAAAAAGAAGAAAAUACACGCGUGACAUAGAGAGAUAAAAGAGGGGAUGCACAGUUGAGGACUUGAGGACCCCCCUUACCUGUCUUCAUCUUCUCCAAACGAGCCCCCAUUUGUCCUCCGUCGCUGCUCACCUCCAGACCUCCUCGCCAAAGAACCACCCUCAAUUCCUCCAUAGCCACAUCCUUAUCACCAUCUCUAAAGAAUAAGGUCGAACUCCCGAAGGCUUCCCUCACCAGCCGCCAGAUUUGAUCACCAGUGGGUCUGGUCGACCAUUUGCGACCUGUUGAACACACACCCCUACUCACUGUUGCCAAGCUACCAUAUCCCACUUAUCACCCUUACUGAAGAAGAUAAUAGCAAAUCUAGACCCCAAAAAUAAGGACUCAUCUUUCUCUGAACACACAAAAAGCGGACAGUGAGAACAGAGGAAGUGAACGGACGUGAUUUUUUGUGUUCUAUUCUGAUUUUAAACUCAAAUCCUUUUCAAUUUUCAUGUCGACUUCUAUUUUUCUUCUAAUUUUCGAUUUGGAUUCCUAUCUGAGGUGUUAGUCGAGGUCGAGUUUGGUCGGAGUUAGUUCUCUGGCAAUUCUUCGUGUGUGUUGCAUCGACUGUUGCUCCGAUGUCGCCAUUGCUGUGAUAUUGGCGUCAUUUUAGUUCGAGGGUGCUGGGUUGAGUUCCCAGUUAUUGCUUAAGGUUCCGAUCUAAAACUUGCUCGUUUGUGCUGAACUUCAGCCCUAUUUGUUGUGCUUUUUCUUUGGAUUGUGUCUUGCUCAAUCAGGUAUUCAACUAUGAAUUCAAGUUACUUGGACAUAAUGUGAACGGUGUCUUUUGUUCCUCUCCAUGAAUAUCGCUGCAUUGUUACGUUUUGUGGUUGAAUCCUUUUUCUGCGUAAUUUGCCUGUUGGAAGAUUUAAACAUAUUUUAGCUUGUACUAUCAUCGAUCAAUUUUUGGUGGGGAACUAAUUGGUUUUGCUGUCCUGGGUUUGUUAAUUAGUUUGAAGAUGGAGAAAAGUAUUCAAAUGUUCACAUAGAAAAAGAGAAAAAUGAAGGACAACACUUUUAUGUCUUGAUAGUUUGUUCACAAGAAAACGCAGACACAACAUAUUUACAUUAAUUUAGGUACUUCUCACAGGGUAAACAGUGAGUUUUUGGAAGGGAAUGAAUAUGUCGUUGCUUAGUUUUUGUAACUGUUCAUCGUGAUUUUGGAUUUGUUCGCUCGAUUAGAUGCUCGCAUUUACUUGAAUGGGUUAUAGCUGAAUAAGAAGGUGUCACAAUAUAGAUAUGGGGUUGUUAACGCGUCAAUUCGAUUCCCUGAUAUUUCUCACCUGCAAGUGGGCAUGUUCGUUUGAUUUGGGCUUAUUUUGAGCCCAAGUUAAUUCUUGCUGAAUGGGGCUAUCUUCUGCGGCUAUGGAGGCCUUUAUCUUGCGCCUCCUAUGCGAACUAGAUCCAUUUUGGGCAUAGGAUUGAAUUAAUAACUGAUCCAGUAACAAGUAAAAUAUUGUAGACCUUGGGCCUUUCAAGUUAAGUGGCAGACUUGAAUUAAGGAUUCUUCAAUAGAUAAUAACAUUUCAUCUCUAGGACACCCUCUUAAAAUAGUUGAGGAGCGCCGCGCCUAGCAAAAUUCACAAAUUGCGUGGCCCUCUUUAACUAUACCUUUAAAAUCUUUAGAAUACAAAGCGUGCCAUUUAGAGAAUUUUCAUGACCUUCCGAAAAGUUAAUAAUACGCUAAUUGCUUUAGGCGCGCUGUUUUAAAAUUCACCUUCCUAAUUCGGGUGUGCAUUUCAUGUGACCCAAAUCCGAAUCCCAAAACAUUGAAUAAAAUGUGUCUUGGAUCUUGAGUGCAUUUCUUGUGACAUAACCCAAACACACGUUUUAAACAACGUUCACAUUUCCCUUAAAAAUUAAUCAAAAGCGGUAAAUAAUUUAAAAAAUUGCACAAUAGGGUGACAUGCUUUAAAAUCAAGUAAUUAAGCCGACUCUGAUAGUUGAGCGAUCGUGCUAGAACCACGGAACUUGGUACUGCUAACACCUUCUCCCUGGUUAACAGAAUUCCUUACCCGGAUUUAUGAUUCGCUGAUUGUUAAACAGAGUCAAGUUUUCCUUGAUUCGGGAUUUAAACCAGUGACUUGGGACACCAUUAAUGAUCCCAAGUGGCGACUCUGAAAUCUCUAAAUAAGAUAAAGCUCGUUUCUAUUGUUCUUAAAUUGCAAAAACUCCCUUAGCUACGCCGCUCGCGGGGUUGUAGUGUCCAAAAGAAGGUGUGACAUCCUUCUUCAAAAAGAAAUUUGAUCUAAUUAUUUGAAAGGUUUCUUGUUUUAUUCAAAGUGUGUAUCGUUAAAUAUUUCUUAUAGUAUCUUCUGGAGGUUCAUACUGAAAUUUGAUAGCUUUUGGAGCUGAUUUAAGGUGAUUGAGAUCGAAAUGUUCAGUUGAAAAUCGAAAAAGAACGCAGCUACAGUAUACCGUUACGAUAUACAAUAUGCUGUAGGAGUAUAUAUUUAUAGUGCAGUAGUAUGCUAUUAUAGUUUAUAAUAUACUACAACGGUAUAUUGUAAUAAUUGAAGAAAAACAGAGUUACCUUACAAUAUACCACUAUAGUAUACAAUAUAUUAUAGGAGUAUAUAGUUAUACUGCAAAAGUAUACUAUUAGAGUAUACAGUAUAUUAUUAUAGUAUAUUGGUAAUAAUUAUGCAAUAAACUGUAACAGUAUGCUGUAAUAAUACAUAAUAUACUAUAAUAGUAUACUUAUUACUCGUAAAUUCACUUGUCUUUUCCCUUUUAAUUUGCUUUAAGCUUUUAUCCUACUCGUAAAUAUAUAUAUAUAUAUAUAAUAGUAUGAUGUGUAAUGUAGCGGUAUACUCUUACAAUAAGAUCCUUUUAUAAUUUUUUAAAUUUUUUAUUGACAAUUGAUAUUAUUUCAAUUUACUAAUUGAAUUCAUUUUUUAACUCUUUUCGUACAAUUGUACACCCUAUUGAUAUAGCUAUAUACAAUACAAAUAUAAUAUGUUAGUUAAUAUUUUUAUGCUUGUAUUAGCUACAUUUAAUUGGUACACAAUUUAAUUUUUUUAGUAAUAAUAUAAAAAAAGAAUAAUAAUAAAUAGCGAAAACGAUAAGUAAAAUUAGAUUACAAAGAGAAAAAAGAAUAUAAAAAGUUAAAUGAAAUUUGAAAAGGAAAAAAGAAAAUAAAUAAGAAGAAAACGAGAAAAAAGAAAAGAAAAGAAGCAUAAAAAUAAAAAAGAAUUGGAGAAUGAAGAAAAAAUUCCCCAUAAAACUUAUUAUGGGUAUGAAAUGUAAUUAGUCUAUGGGUAGAAAAAUAAAUAGAUAAAUAAGGAUAAAUAAUUUUAUUUUUGUGGGUAGCUGUGUCAAAAUCCCAUAUUAUUAUUUGGUUUGUAACUGCUCUUCUUUUUAUGUCUUUUGUGAACAUAUUAACUACCGGAACUCGAAAAGUGACUACAAACUAAUAUUCUCGUAUAGUGAACAAUCAAUUAAGUUUAAAGUAGUUUAGAGAACAAGCCAAUAACAGAACAAAUCUAGAAAAAUUAUUUUUCCAUCCUCGGGGAUCGUGAUGGUGCAUACUCGUGAAAGCAAGGCAAGCCAAAUAGGAUUACUUUUUCUUUAACAAUACAAGUCUUUUUAACCAAUAAUAGCAAUAAUAUAAAAGCAACGAAUUUAUCGAAAUAAGCUGAAGUCUUAAAUUAAACAAAAACUGAAUAAAGAUGCGGAUAUAAACCUUUACCCAAGACUGGUGUCACAAAACUCACGAAAAUCUAAGGAUACUAAAUACAAUGUCUGAAGAAAUAUAUCUAUUUGUUUCGAAUACAAUGAGAUAACAGUCUAAAGUAAAGGAUAGAGGAGAUGCCAGGCAUGCAGAUGAGGAUAACGGCUGCACAUAUCAGACUCGAACUCCUAGGUCGAUGGCUCAGGAGGCUGACCUCUCCACCGAACACGAACAGAAGGGAAACACUUGGACCUCAACUGACGUACCUCCCGGUCUAGAAUAGCUACCGGCUCCUCCUCAUAAGAUAAGUCCUUGUCCAACUGGACAGUGCUGAAAUAUAACACGUGGGUUGGAUCGCCAUAAUACUUCUGAAGCAUAGACACAUGAAACACUUGAUGCAUGGCUAAUAAGCUAGGCGGCAAAGCAAGUCUAUAAGCCACAUCUCCCACUCGAUCAAGAAUCUCAAACGAGCCAAUGAAUCUAGGGCUAAGCUUGCCCUUCUUCCCAAAUCUCACCACGCCCUUCAUAGGAGACACUCGGAGCAAUCUUGCUCACCAACCAUAAAAGCCACAUCUCGAACCUUGCGGUCUGCAUAGCUCUUCUUCCUGGACUGUGCCGUACGAAUCCUGUCCUGAACAAUCCUAACCUUGUCCAAGGCCUCCUGAACUAGAUCCGUACCCAAUAACCGAGCCUCCCCCGGCUCAAACCAUGCGACUGGAGAUCAAUACCACCUAUCAUACAACUCCUCAUUAGAAGCCAUCUGAAUGCCGUACUGGUAGCUGUUGUUGUAGGAGAACUCUACUAAAGGAAAGAACUGGUCCCACAAGCCUCCAAAAUAAACAACACAAGAUCAGAGCAUAUCCACUAAAAUCUGAAUAGUUUACUCGGACUGGUCGUCCAUCUGGGGAUGAAAUUCUAUACUCAACUCCACCUAAGUGCCCAACUCCCGCUGAACUAAUUUCCAAAAACGCGAGGUAAACUGUGUACCCCGGUCCAAAAUGAUAGAUACUGGCACAACAUGACUACGAACAAUCUCCCGGAUAUAAAUCUUAGCUAACAACUCGAUUGAAUAGGUGGCUGCAACAUGAAUGAAAUGUGCUGACUUGGUCAGCCUAUCAACAAUGACUCAAACUACAUUGAAUUUCUUCUGGGUCAAUGGAAGUCCCGUAAUGAAAUCCAUGGUAAUCCUCUCCCACGUCCACUUGGGAAGCUCAAUCCUCUGAAACAAUCCACCGGGCCUCUGACGCUCAUAGUUAACCUAGUGACAGUUUAAACAUCGAGCCACAAAUGCAACUAUUUCCUUCUUAAUUCUACGCCACUAAUAGUGUUGCCUCAGAUCCUGAUACAUCCUCAUAGCACCCGGACGAAUAGAGUACCAAGAACUAUAGGCCUCCGCUAAGAUCAACUCUCGAAUCCCAUCAACAUUGCGCACACAAACUUGCCCCUGCAAUCUAAAAACACCAUCACCAUCUAAGGUCACCUUCUUGGCACCUCUACACUACACCGUGUCUCUAAGGACACACAAAUGAGGAUCAUCAAACUGUCAAUCACCGAUACACUCCAAUAACGAAGAAUGAGCGACCGUGCAAGCUAGCACUAGGCUAGACUCAAAAAUAUCCAACCUCACAAGUCGAUUGGCCAAGGCCUGAACAUCCUAAGUAAGUGCUCUCUGGCUGACCGGAAUAUAAGCAAGACUGCCCAUACUAGCUGACUUCCUACUCAAUGAAUUGGCUACCACAUUGGCCUUCUACGGGUGAUACAGGAUAGUAACAUCAUAAUCUUUCAAAAACUCCAACCACCUCCUCUGCCUCAAAUUCAACUCUUUUUGCUUGAACAAGUACUAAAGGCUCUUGUGAUCAGUGUACACCUCACAUUCCACGCCGUACAGAUAAUGCCUCCAAAUCUUCAAUGCAUGAACAAUGGCUGCCAACUCUAGAUCAUGAACUGGAUAAUUCUUCUCGUGAAUCUUCAACUACCUCGAAGCAUAGGCAAUGACUUUGUUGUCCCGCAUUAAUACUGCACCAAGCCCAAUAUGGGGAGCAUCACAAUAGAGUGUAUAAGGCCCUGAACCUGUAGGCAAAACCAAUACUGGUGCCAUAGUAAGAGCUGUCUUGAGCUUCUGAAAGCUCGCCUCACAUGCGUCCGACCACCUGAACUGGGCACCCUUCUGGGUCAACCUGGUCAUCGGGGCUGCAAUAGAUGAAAACCCCUCCACAAACUGACGAUAGUAGCAUGCCAAUCCCAAGAAGCUCUGAAUCUCUGUAGCUGAUGCUGGUCGAGGCCAGUUCUUGACUGACUCAAUCUUCUUCGAGUCCACCUGAAUACCCUUUGCUGAUACAAUGUGACCUAGAAAUGCAACCGAACUCAACCAGAACUCACACUUCGAGAACUUAGCAUAUAACUGACUAUUCUUCAGAGUCUGAAGAACCACUCUAAGGUGUUGCUCGUGCUCCUCCUGCCUGUGGGUAUAUAUGAGAAUAUCAUCAAUAAGGACUAUCACAAAAAAGUCCAAAUAGGGCCUGAACACUCGGUUCAUCAACUCCAUAAAUGUUUUGGGGGCAUUGGUCAACCCAAAAUGACGUGACCAAGAACUCAUAAUACCCAUAACGAGUACGGAAAGCUGUCUUAGGGACAUCAGAUGCCCUAAUCCUCAACUGAUGGUAGCUAGAUCUCAAGUCUAUCUUUGAAAACACCUUGGCACCGUGAAGGUGGUCGAACAAAUCCUCAAUCCUCGGCAAUGGAUACUUAUUCUUGAUUAUAACUUUGUUCAAUUGUCGGUAAUCAAUGCACAUCCUCAUCGAACCAUCAUUUUUCUUCACAAAUAACAGUGCACCCAAAGGUAAAAUGAUGGGUCUAAUGAAAUCCUUCUCAAGAAAAUUCUGCAAUUGAUCCUUUAACUUUUUCAAAUCUGGUGGAGCCAUGCGGUACAUCGGGAUAGAAAUAGGCUGAGUGACCAAAGCUAGAUCAAUGCAGAAGUCGAUAUCGCUAUCGAGCAGCAUACCCGGAAGGUCUGAAGGGAAAACUGAGGGAGCUCUACAACAAUGGGAACAGAAUCAAUAGAGGGGACUUCAGCCAAACACCCCUUCUCGACCAUACAUCGAGCCUUCACAUACGAGAUAACAUUGCGAGUUGAAUGACCAGGAGUACCUCUCCACUCUAAACGGGACAAAUCUGGUAAGGCUAAGGUCAUGAUCUUGGCAUGGCAAUCCAAGAUAGCAUAAUAUGGGGACAACCAAUCCAUCCCUAAUAUGACAUCAAAGUCGACCAUGUCCAAAAGCAACAAAUUAACACGGGACUCAAGACCCCCAAUCACUAAAACACAUGAACGAUGAACUCUGUCGACCAUGAUAGAAUCACCUACCGGUGUAGACACAUAAACAAGAAUAAUCAAUACACCAGUAGGUAUGACCAGGUACAGUGCAAAAUAAGAUGACACAUACAAAUACGUAGACCCUGGAUCAAAUAGCACUGAAGCAUCUCUAUCACAGACCAGAAUAGUACCUGUAAUGACUACAUCUUAAGAGUGAGCCUCUAGCCUAGCUGGAAGAGCAUAACAUCGGGGUUGGGCCCCGCUCCCCUAAACCACGUCUCUGGGAUGGUCGACUACUGGCUGGCCUUUGGAAGAUCUGCCUAUAAUGACUACAUCUGAAGACUCAGCCUCUCGCCUAGCUGGAAGAGCAUAUCACUGGGGCUGGGACCCACCUCCCUGAACCACAUCUCUAGGACGGCCGGUAGUUGGUUGGCCUCCAUCCCUGGCGGCCUAAGCUCCACCUCUUUGACCUCUACCUCCACCUCUAGCAUCUCUACGCCCACCUCUAGCUGGCUAGGUGGGCUGUGGAACACCUAGUGCCUGUACCAUGGCAGGAGAACCAUGUUGUUGUGAACUACUUGGUGCUCAAGGGAAAAAUCUGGCAAUGUGAGUAGGAUCUCCACAAAUGUAGCAAGACCUUGUCUAUUGAGAAAACUGAGACUGACCCUGUCAACCUGAAUGACUUCCUCGAAAACUCUAAAGUGGUGGUGCGCUGAUAGGUGCUAGUGGUGCAUUACAAGGCUACGUAUCAGAAUAAUGCAGUUGAGUACCACGACCACGUGAAGUGCCAUAAGAGACCUGGAGAGCUGACUGAAAGGGCCUAGGAGGAUGGCCUCUACCAUAAGAAUCUCUACCUCCAAACGAGGUACCACUAAAUCUGCCUGAAUGACGGGGCCUCUUAUCCGACCCAUGACCCCCUCCCUAUGACAGAACCAUCUCAACUAUGUGGGCCACAUUGGUCGCCUCCUAAAAGUUGAUCUCAUUACCAGUCUCCUUAGCUAUCUGGACACGAAUCGGCAGAAUGAAACCAUCAAUAAACCUCUGCACUCUCUCUCUCUCUCUCUCUCUCUCUCUCUCUUGGUGGGGAGUAUAACAAGAGCAUGGCAAGCUAGAUCAAUAAACCUGGUCUCAUACUAAGUGACCGUCUUGGAACCCUACUGCAGGCGCUCGAACUGAAUCCGAAGAGCCUCUCUCUGAGUAACAGGGAGAAACUUCUCCAUAAACAACACUAAAAAUUACGCACAAGUCAAAGACAGCGACCCUGCUGGUCUGGCUAAACAAUAAUCUCUCCACCAAGUCUUGGCAGAUCCAAAUAGGCGAAAGGCCGCAAAAUCAACUCCAUUGGUCUCAAUGAUACCCAUGUUAUGAAGAACCUCGUGCAGCUAUAUAAGAAAUCCUACGGGUCCUCAGAGGAAACGCCGCUGAACGUGGUAGUGAAGAGCUUGGUGAACCUAUCCAGCCUCCACAAAGCAUUUGCGGACAUAGCCGCUCCAUCAUCGGUUUGGAUCACUACACCCGGCUGAACUGCCAUAGCUGGUUGAACCACUAGAACUUGAACCUGAGGAGCUACCUGCUCCAGAGUGCGCGUAGCAGGAGCCUAAGCCCCUCCUCCAGCCUGAGAAGUGGCUGGUGCUACUAGAAACAUCUAGUGACACUCUCCAUGGGCCCUACCAAUCCGACCAAAGUGUCCUAAAGAAUUGGUGGCAAUGAACCCCUUAGGGACCUGAGCUGGGCCCACUGGAACUGCUUGGGCUGGAACCUCCUACUCAAAAUCGACUUGAGGCUCCACUACUUGUGCUACUGCUCUGGGCUGAGCUCUGCCCCUACCUCGGCCUCUAGCAUAGCUUCGUCCUCGCCCUUUCCCACUAGUGGGAGCAUCUGUUGUAGGCUCGGGCUGCUGCGCGGUAGAUAAGAAAGUGUGUGUUCUCGCCAUCUGCGAAAGAAUAAAGUAGAAAAGCAAUCAGUAUUUGAGAAACAAAACCACACUACAAAAAAGAACAAAUGUGAAGUUUUCCUAACGUUGUAGCCUCUAGGGGAUAAAUACAGAUGUCUCCAUACCGAUCCCUUAGACUCUACUAAGUAUAACAGGUAAAAUGACAAGUAAAUAUGGAAGAUGAAUGCAUAAAAGUCUGCCCCUCGGGCAAUAUCUCAGAACAGUACUAGCUGCUCGGCUACCUCACAAUCACUCAUAUCAGCCCCACGAGAUACCGCACAAUCACUCAUAACAACCCACUGGGCUCACUCUUAGAAUAAUGGGUACCCAUGCUCACUAUGGGUGUGCAAACUUCGGAGGGGGCCCUUAUGGCUCAAGUGCUAUAUCAAGCCACCUCGUGGCAUCAUCACUCGGCACUCAGCCUCACAUCACUCAAGGCACCUCGUGGCAUAUAAAUGUACCUCAGGCCUAUCACAUAGCAUAUGGCGCUCGAGCUCACUCAGUCCAAAAUUCAUCACAAGCCCAUCGAUCAUUAGUAAAAUAGUAGUUCUCAGCCCAAAACAUCAUUUAGAAAUAUCAUUUAAGCUUCAAAUCAGGAUAAAAGUGGCCGAGUUUGUAAAACACUAGAUAUCAGUAGGACUGACUGCAAGUAAUAAAUCAAAACAGUGAGGAAAUCGUGAUAAAAAUUCCUGAAUGGUUCAAAUAAUUGGCACAAGCCCAAAUAUUGAAAACAACCCAAAUCAUGGUAAUAAAAAAUAAGUUUCAGCCAAAUACAAGGUAAAAUCACCAAUCGGGAUGGACCAAGUCAUAAUCCCCAUUAGAAAACGACCCCGCACUCAUCAUCUAGCGCGUGUCUCACCUCUAUAUAGCACUACGAUGUGCAAUCUGGGGUUUCAAACCCUCAGGAUAUCAUUUAAAAUCAUAAGUCACCUCAAAUUGACCAAAACUCUAGCUCGUUAUGCCCAUGCCUCUCAGAUCAGCCUCCUCUCGCAUCGAAUCUGACCAAAAUCGCAACGAAUACGUCACAAUAGGCUAAAGGAAUAAUACACAAUCGAAAAAUGUCAAAAAUCCUGAAAUUGGCAAAAAUUGAACCCCGGGCCCACUUCUCGAAACUCAGAAAUUUUUACAUCACCGGGUUCCUUAUCUCGCCCCAAUUUUAUACAUAUCAAGAACUCCUAAAUCUGAGCUAAAAUGACCCAUCACAACCCAAUGUGAAAUAUCAAAACUCAAGUCCUAGUUCUUCCCCCUUUUUGCUAAGUUUUCCUGAAUUUCCAGGUUAAUCCUACAAUUAAAUCAUGUUUUUAGUUUAUAGAAUUUAUCUUCAAUCAAUCCUCUUCGAAACCCUCUUUAAUUUCCGUCCAAGAGCUCUCAGGAUACUCAACAAUGGUAGAAAUUAACCAAGGUUCGCGGAACAAAAUGUUAUAAAAACCUUUCUGCCCAGCUGGCAAUUUCAUCUAUUCAAACGCGAGGGCCUUCUCGCAUUCACGAUGCACAAAAUUUUCAUUAACCAUUUUUACCCAUCCUGAAUGUGGUUACUUAACCGCGAACACGAUGCUUUAACCGAUACAACUAUGCAAACACAGGCCUUAAGCCGCGAACGUGAAGAACAAAUAAUACGAGACCUCAAAUCCUUCUAUGCGAACGCAACACUCGUCACGCGAACGCGAUGCACACUCCAAGGACCCUCCGUGAACGUGAUGCUCUUGACAAAAAUGCAAAGCACAAAGACUCAGGGACCCAACUCUAUUCUACGCGAACGCGGGCUCCUCAUCACGAACGUGAAGACAAACCUUGACAUGCACUGCUGCUGCAUUUUCUCCUAUGAUUUUUCAACUCCAAACUUUCCGUUAGCCAUCCGAAAUCACUUUGAGGCCCCAGGACCUCAACCAAAAGCACCAACACAUUCUAAAACAUCAUCCAAACUUGUUUAAAUUAUCAAAAUACCUCAAAUAACACCAAAACCAUCAAAUUACAUCGAAUUCAAUUUUGAAUUCGCCAAAAAUACUAACUUUGCCAAUUUAAGCCAAAUCCUUCCACGGACUUCCAAAAUGUGUUCCGAUCGCACUCCUGAGUAAUAAAUCACCCAACAAAGCUAACUAGAUCAUAAAAACUCCGAUCUAAGCUCAUACACAGACAAGUCAACUCUUGGUCAAAUAUUUCAAAUUUAAAGCUUUCAAGUGAGACUCUUCUUUCAAAUUCAUUCCGAUUUUCCUGAAAACUCAAAACCAAUAAUCUACAUUAGUCAUAAUACAAUACAUGGGACAAGUCAUGCCCGAUAACUGAUGAUCAAAGUGCAAUAUUUCCAAACAACCGGUCAGGUCGUUACAAUAACCAGUCCAUCACUUUACCUUUUUAUAAACAUAUGCCGAGUAAUAUUUUUAUAUGAAAAAUGCUUAAAAUUUUAUUUGAUUUGUCUACCUAUGCUGUAGUACAGAACUAAAUAUUUAUUUACAAAAAAGAAAUUAUGCUAAAUAUUUAUUUAUUUACUAGGGAUAUAUAUUUUUUUACUUUCUUGUAUUAUUUCAAACUUUCAUUAAUAUAAUAGCAUAUUUUAUUCAAGCAUAAAUUUUGAAGGAUAAUUUUGUCUCUAACUAAGCUAAUAUAGGCGAUAAAGCCCAUUGAAAUUUUAAUAUCAUGUUUCCUAUGCAUUAGUUAUGCAUAGGAUAACACCAAAUAGAUUGUAUCACUAAUGCUUGCAUAACUAAUGCAUAGGUUCAAAAGGUGUACCAAACAAGGUAUUAUUACUGUACAUAGCUAAUGCAUACAUUAUUUUAUUUAGUGCAUCCUACCAAACGACCUCUAAAAUUGAUAAUGUACUAAUGGACAAAUAAAAGUGAACGGAUAAAAUACUUCAAGUGGAGUAAGCUCUAGAAAAGUGAGAGUGGUGAAAGUUUGGGGCUUAAUAAAUACUUACGAGGUACAACGUGGUAAGAAAACCAGAAUCUUUAACUGAAAUGUUGUCUUUUUAGACUUAAAAAGCAUAAAUAGGUGGGAAAAUAUUUAGUGACCAAAAUAUGUAAAACGAUUUUUAAUAUUGCGAUUUACAUAAAAUGCCUUUUGUAAAUGCAUUUUACCUUAAAGUCCUCCACUGUUCUUCUCGACAGAUCCCCCUCCCCCUCUAUUUAAAAAUUUUUCUAGCGUUCCCUCCUCCAUUAACGAUCCAAAAAAACUCGAGUGAACCCUAUUCGUUCCAUAAAAAGUUGAAAGUGUUGGUCCCACAUCCUAACUAAGGCAUUCUCUCAUUGUGGUUGCUCGUUUAAGAGUCAAAUUUUUAAUUUUUUAAUAUUCCAAAAAAUAUAAAUCAAGGUGUUCCAAUUUAUUUUUGUCAAAAUUUGUAUAAAAAUGCAUAUUAGUUCUUUUUACAUAUGUUCUAUGUUGUUUUGCUUUUUUUUUUUGAUUAAACUAGUAUGUUAUUUUAUCAGGACUUAGAUAUUAGUAUGCUAAAAAAUAUGUAAAAAUGGAGAAAUCAUUAUUAUUUGUUAAAAAAAUGCUAAUAAGUUUUUCUUACUUUUGUAUAUAUAUAUAUAUAUUUUCAUUAAUAUUGUGUGAUUAAAUGUAUUUGUUAUUUUUUAUCUAAUUUCAUUAUUUAUUUGCUUAAAAACUAGUAAUAUGUAAUGCCUUUUAGCAUAGUGAAAUGUAGUGCAUUUUUAUAUAGUAAAAUAUAGUGUCUUUUGGCGUAGUAAAAUAUAAUGCCUUUUAGCGUAGUAAAAUAUAGUAUUUUUAAGUAGUUUUCCUGUGUUUUAAGUAUCUCUUAACCUCAAAAAUACAUCAAAAUAACUGAUAGAUCAAAUACAAACUCUGUCCAAUUAUAGUCAACAUAUCACUGGUGCUACUGGACUGCAAAUGUCAAUCCUGGAAUCCAUAUAUGAAUAUUUAAUAAUUAAGUUUGAAUAUUUAUAAAAAUUAAUUAUUUCAUUUACAAACAAACAUAUAAAAUUAUAAAAUUAAUAUGUAAAAUAAUAAAACUAAUACAUAGAAGAAUUCAGGAUAAAUUGAUGCUACUAGGCUGCAAAUAUUGAGCCCGAAACCCAUAUGUGAAUAUUUAAUUAUAAAUUAAUUAUUUAAUUUGUAAACCAACAUAUAAAAUUAUAAUAAAACUAACACAUACAAGAAUUUAGGAUAUGUUGGUACUAGGCCACAAAUAUCGAGCCUAGAACCCUUAUGUGAAUAUUUAAUAACUAAAUACUAUAUAAUUAUAAAAAUUAAUUAUUUAAUUUACAAAUAAACAUAUAAUAUUAUAAAACUAAUAAGUAAAAUAAUAAAACUAAGACAAAGAAGAAUUUAGGAUAAAUAUCAAGUUCGAAAACCAUAUGAGAAUAUUUAAUAAUUAAAUAUUUUAUAAUUGUAAGAAAUAAUUAUUUAAUUUACAAACAAACAUAUCAAGUUAUAAAACUAACAUGUAAAAUAAUAAAACUAACACAUAGAAGAAUUUAGGAUAUAUUGAUGCUACUGAGCCGCAAAUAUAGAGCGUGAAACCUAAAUGUGAAUACUUAAUAAUUAAAUAUUAUAUAAUUAUAAAAAUUAAUUAUUCAAUUUAUAAACAAACAUAUAAAAUUAUAAAACUAACAUGUAAAAUAAUAAAACUAACACACAAAAGAAUUUAGGAUAUCUUGGUGCUGUUGGCCUCAAAUAUCGAGCCUAGAACACUUAUGCGAAUAUAUAAUAAUUAAAUAUUGUAUAAUUAUAAAAAUUAAUUAGUUAAUUUACAAAUAAACAUAUAAAAUUAUAAAACUAACAUGUAAUUAAUGUUGUUUAAUUUACAGUAGACGACAUGGAGUUGCCGCCUAUUUAUCAUAGACCUUCCAGCGAUGAGCUACUAUCAUUAUAGGGAAAUCAUAGGUUUUCCCACAUAUGGGAGGGUGAGUAACUGACCUGGACGUGAAAGGAGAGUGAAUGACAUGUGGGACUUUCUACAUGACAAAGUUCUCCAUCCAUGUGUCAUCACACGCCUGUGAGAGACAAGUUUCUACAGGAUUUUGGAGAUCAAGUGGUUGCAGCUCGAUUGGUCUUUGGUCACGACCCUGAUAGAGCGGUACCGAACGGAGACGCACACAUUCCACAUGCCCAUUAGCGAAGCUACCAUCACACUACAAGAUGUGGAGGUUGAUGUGAUGACCUGACCCGUUGUCUUGUGAGUUACUGCAUUAUUUUCCCUAUUAUUUUGCUUCAUUGUGCUUCAUUAUCUGUAUCUUAUGUGAUCGAGUUGGUUUGGAGUGGUUUUGAUAAGAAAUGAGACUCUUAGUCUCUCUUGAGUAUGCUUAAGUUGGAAAAGUCAAUCGGAUAUUGACUUAUAAGUUAGAGGGUUUGGAUGUGAAUUCUGAUGGUUUGAUUUACUUCGGGGGAGGAUUUUUGACUUAGGAGUGUGAUCAGAAGUAGUUUUGGAGGUCCGGUGUAAAAUUAGACUUGAAUUGGCGAAGUUAGUAUUUUAGCGAUUUUCGGUUGAUAGGUGAGAUUUUGAUCCGAGGGUCGAAUGGAAUUCCAAGAGUUGCAGUAGCUUCAUUAUGUGAUUAGGGAUGUGUGUGUAAAAUUUCAGGUAAUUCGGAGGUGAUUUGGUUGGGUUUUUGAUCAAAUACGUGUUUCGGAAGUUUUAGAAGAACUUACGCUUGAAUUCGAUGUAAUUUGAUGGUUUUGGUGUUGUUUGAGGUGUUUAUGUGAUUGGAACAAGUUUGGAUUAUGUAUUAAGAUGUUUUGGUGCUUUUGGUUGAGGUCUCGAGGGCCUCGUGAUAAUUUUGGAUGGAUAACGGGAAGUUUGGAAUUGAAAAAAAAAUAGUAGAAAAUGCAGCAGCAGGUGCAGGCACUAUGUGGUCUUCGCGAUCGCGGGUAAUCCCUCGCGUUUUCAUUGAAGGAUAUCUAGCAGGCCUAUUUUUGUUCUUCGAGUUUGCAAUAGUGGGUCCACGAACGUGGAAGGUAAAUUUCGGGAACUUCGCAUUCGCAGUGUGGAGCCCCCGUUCGUAUAGUAGAAGUUGAGAUCUAGCUAAGCUAUUCAUCGCACUCGCGUAUAUGGUGUCGUGUUCGCGUAGGUUCAAGGGCCAAGGCAUCGUAUUCGCGGGAGUGCGGGCGCAUUCGCAAAGAGUUAUUUUGGUCAAGGUAAGUUUUCUUCAUCAUGAACGCGAGAGUUUGACAGCAUUUUCAAAACAUUUCAUCUGCAAGCCUAUGUCACUUUUCCACCAUUUUUGAGCAAUUUGAGAGCUCUUUUGGAGAAACUGAAGAGGGAUUCGAAGAUGAUUGAUUGGAGGUAAGUUCUAUGAAUUAAAAACGUGAUUAUAUUGUCAAAUUAACCUAGAAAUUCAUGGAAAUUCAACCAAAAAUGGAAGAACUAAGGCUUGAGAUUUUUGAAUUUUAAUUUGGGAUUUGAGGGGUCAUUUGGACUCCGAUCUUGGUGUUAUUUAUAUUCAUAAACUCGUGUAGAUAUAAGGAACCCGUUGGUGCUAAAAUUUCUAAGAUUCGAGAAGUGGGCAUGGGGUUCGGGUUUUGCUAAUUUGAGGAUUGUUGAUAUUUUUUGAUUGUUUUCGCUUGGUUUUUGUUACCCUAGCCUAUUGUGACGUAUUCGUUGUGGUUUUAGUCAUAUUUAACGUGCGAGGAGGAUGAUUUGAGAGUCAAGGGCAUAGCGAGUUAGAUUUUUGGCCGGCUUAAGGUGAGUAAUGAAUUUAAAUGAUGUCCUGAGAGUUUGAAACCCCGAAAUUGCACAUCGUAGUGCUAUAUUGAGCUGGGACACGUGCUUGAUGAUGAGCGCGAGGUCGUUUUCUAUUAGAGAUUGUGACUUAGUCCGUCCUGAGUGAUGUUUUUACCGCAUAUUUGAUUGAAGCUUAUUUAAUAUUAUCAUUAUUUGGAUUAACUGUCAUAUUUGGGCUUCAUGCCAACUACUUGAACCAUGCGUGUAGUUUUUAUCACUAUAUCCUCACUGUAUGGAUUUACUACUUGAACUCAGUCAUACCGUUUUCUACUAUUUUACAACUUAGCCAUUUUGCUCGGGUUUUGAAACUAAAAGAUAUACUAAAUGACGUUUUGGGCUUAGAACUACUAUUUUUACUAUUGCUCGAGAGGCUUAUGUGAUUUCUGGACCGAGUAUGGGAUCGGGCUGCGCACUGCAAUAGUAUUAUAUUGAUAUUGAUAUGAGGCUGAAAGCCUAGUUGAUACCACAAGAUGGCUUGACAUUGCGCUUGUCCUAGCCAUCUUUACUCGGAAUUUUGAAACUAAAGGAUAUAUUAAAUGAUAGUUUGGGUUGAGAACACCUAUUUUAUUAUUACCUAAGGGCUAUGUGAUUUCUGGACGCAGUAUGGGAUCGGGUUGCGCACCGCAGCGGUAUUAUAUUGAUAUUGAUAUGAGGCCAAGGGCCUAGUUGAUGCCACAAUAUGGCUUGAUUUUUUUCUUGGGCCGUAAAGGGCCCUUCACGGAGUCUGCACACUCCCAGUGAGCGUCGUCGACAAUAAAUAAAUGGAUCGGGUUGCACGCCACAGCAGGUACUAUAGGAUACCGUUCUAUGUGUUGCAUUUACAUUAUUUGGUUGUCAUUUAUCUACUCAUCUGUUGUAGUAUUUCCAUAUUUCGAUUUCAUUGGUCUAUCGCUACAUAUUACUUGUUUAAAGCUGCUGAUGUAUAGGUUACUUUGUGUUUUUCUAUGAUUUCUUAUUCUCAGCCAUUAUUUAUAGUUAUUACUCAUUUUGUCGGAGUACUCACAUUACUCUUCGCACUUUGUGUGCACGUCCAUGUGCAUCUGAGGCUGAGUGAGGAUUUUCUGUUGAGCAGCGCUUAUCCGGGAGCAUCGAAGUAGCUGCAUAGCAUCCACAACCCUGAUUUCUCCCUUCUAUCCUUUUGUUUUAUCUCGCAUUUCCCUAGAUUAACAUGUAUUAGGUAGAUAAACAUGUAUUAGAGGCUCGGACUUGUGACACCGGAUCCUUAUGGGCUGUAUUGUAGGAUUAUUAUUUGAGAUUUCGCAUGUUUAACUCUUAUUUCAGACUUUGAAUAUGUUGAUUUGAUAAUUUAAUUGUGUUAGCUAAUAACGAACUGUAUAAUAAAUUUGGUUAAAGUUGUAAAUUGGUCGGGCUUGCCUAGUAGUGUAUUAGGCGCCAUCACAACCGAGGUUAGGGUCGUGACAGUUUUAUAUGGGAUGCCCAUAGACGGAUACCAUAUUGUUCUACCGCAUAGCAUGGGAGAGAUGGCACGUGUGCAGUAUCCGAACAUGCUGCAGUAGCUCAUUAGUUUCCAGCCAUGGAUUAGAAUGAACUGGAUGGGACCAGUCAUUUUCCGUUGUCAACUAUUUGAGAGUAUUUGCAGUUAUUGCACCCCAACAUUACCGGUGAGACAGAUUAUCUACAUAUUCAUCGGUAUACGAGAUUGAUGCUACUCCUUAUGUUUGGAGGAGUCUUGUUCCCGAACACUUAGGGGAACCUAGUUAGCUUGAAAUUUCUGCAUCAUCUUGAGCAGCUAGAUGAUUUACCCUAGUACAGUUGGGGUGUUGGCUACUUGUACAUGCAUAUGUGCUGGGCGAACAUGGACACCUAGCAUGACACUGCUGGAUUUUUGUCACUACUAGAGGUGACAACAUAUUUGAAUACUCAAUUCAUUUUGAAACACCUAGUAAAAAUAUAUCUUAAAUUUUACAUCAACUUUUUAUGUUAAGUUUGGGCCUAGAAGCGAUUCCUGUAGUUGUAGCCACCUCUACCACCAUUAGCUCCGAAUGUACCACCUCCGUAUCUCCCUCUAUCUAGGAGGUGGGUUCUCCGGCAGGGAUAUACGCAUGAGUACGAGGCUCGGCAUAAUCUCUCUUUAUGUUGGAUAUCUUUGAUUUGUUGGAGGGUGCACAUGCAUAUCUACAUUUACUUGUUAAGGAUACUGGAGCUGAUAUGUGAGGUGACUUAUAUCAGCCAGACGAGGAUGUUGGAGUUGAUCUGGCUUCAUUCAGCCUUCAGCUACCGUUCAUUCCAUCAACAUCGCAGGUGACCCUGUCCGAUCCAUUGUUGAUCACGGGCAUGAGCAUUGUCAGAGUUGAUUGGGAGCAAUACCAUUCAAGCCCAUCGACCGCUGCUGAGGUUCGGACGACCUGAGGUGUGGAUAGUGGCGCUGGCUGAGUUAUGGCUCAUCAUCGACAGGUGCUGGGGAUCUUUUAUAGGCGCCAGUAUAUUUGUAUUACUAUUAAAAUUACAUUUUUUAUCUCAUUGAUCCUCUAUAAGUAACUUUAUAAUUUUCUUACGAAGACUUCAUACCCGACCAUCACGGAGACCACUUUGUGUGAUGCUGACCAGGAUGCGACGGAUGCUUAUUUUCAGGAGCCCCACGAGAUAAUCAUAUGUCAAUUUAAAAAAUUUUGACUUAACAUGUACAUUACUAAUAUAUUUUUUUAUAUAAUUAGCUGACUUAUUCUUCUAUAGGUUGUUGAUGGACGGACGACCCCUUCCAUUGAUACUGCCAGCACUACUGAUGAUCAUGUUGCAGUGCAUCCUGCGAUAAAAAGGCGACGUGAUGAGGAUGAUCCUGAGAGCGUAUUCGGGAGGGACGGGAUGCGCCUCAGGCCUGCGGCUGCAUUUAAGCACACAUGUUGUAUGGCACAUUCAUUUUUUUAUUUGUAUUUUAUGUAAAUAAUAACAACAAUUUUUUAUGUUUAUAUAAUAUGCGCAUUAUGUUUUUGUUUCCAUGUUUCUUCUUUAUUUAAUUACUACUAAAAAACACAAAAUUAGCAACUUAACAUAAUUUAAUUCAGUACAACUAAUGAAAAUACAUGACACCGAAAACAUAAAGAUAAAGUAGUACACUCAAUACCGCUUGUUAUUCUCUGCUCCAACCACUUAAAUUUCUUUUCCAUUUUAUAUUUUUCUUUUUCUGCCUCUUUUAGUUUCUCAUCAAUUCCGCAAUUUCUCAUUUAUAUUCUCGUUCAUAUUCCCACUAUUAUUUGGUCAAAUCAUGAAAAUACUGCAAAGAUCAUUUGUAGCAUUCCUGAUUAUACGGUUCACCAAGACAUACCUUAAAAUUACAAAAAUUUCUGUUGUUACCUCUAAACCUGUUCACACAUAUCUAAUAUCUGCGCCCAACUUCACAAUCAUCCCAAUAGUCCUUCAUUAAACAACGUAUUCCACAUUGGCACAUUGGUACAUACAUGCGUUCAGACAUUUGUUAAAGCCAAAAAACCGCUGCUUUUAUGGAAAGUUUUGCUAUUUACUAUUGUUAAGUGCAUAAAAUAACUAGAAUUCGCUCGUUAUUUAUAGGCAAAGUAAUACACAUUACGUAAUAUUCAACCACACUAUGAUAAAACAUAACGUAGUAUUUAACCACGCUAUGCUUUACGUGUUAAAGAUUCUUUCUGAUACAAAACUACUUUAUCGCAGUUGAGUAGCUUUUCAGAUCGACAAGACAACACACAUAAUAUAGUAUUUAACCCUGCUAUAUAUAUAUUCACACAAAAUAACCGCACUAUGCUUUGCAUGUUAAAGAUUGUUUCUGAUAGAAAAUAGCUUUUACGCAGUCGGACAACUUUUUAGAUUGGCAAGACAGCACACAUAACGUAGUGGUUAAUAUAUAUAUAUAUUCUUGGCUUUUAUUAGCACAGAUGGCAAAAGUUAGUGGAAAUAUUUGUUCAUUGGCUUCUACUACAACGUCGAUCAACAGCUUAAUAUCAUACUUUUCAUAGACAUAAGUACCGUCUAUGAAGAUUACCAGAAGGCAAUGCACAAAAUCAUCAAUUGCUGGUUUAAAUGCCCAGAACACGUAUCUAAAUAUAUUUUGGUAUUCUUGCACUCCACUAAAGCUUUCAUUCAACAACAGUCUCGGGGUUAAAGUAUUUCAAUAUGGCCAUGUACCUAGGUAUAGAUGCAAAUGACUUAUCCCAGUCACCAUAAACAAUUUCAAAUGCACGUUUACGCCCAAGAUAUGCCUUUCUUUUGGUAAUAGUACACCUAUAUUCCUGGUGGAUGAAUGUAAUACACUCUUUGAUCUUGUACCUUAUGGACGCUUCAAUGUAGGGAAUCAGUUGAAGAGAAAUCAAGUAAACAUCCAAGUUGAAGUGAUUCCCAUUGAAUGUGUCCAUUUCGCAAAUGUGGGUGCUAAUAUAUUUACCCAUUUUCCACAAUCCUGUUUAUUUCAUAUAUAUAUAUAUAUAUAUAUAUUCACUUACUUAUCAAACCUCUUCCUCUUCUCAAUGUAGUUUUCUAAUAAUUUUAGAGUGAAACUCGAAAGUGAACGUAAAAAUUGUCCAUUUUUAAUCCAAUACUAUUUAUUAUUACAUGAAUGGGUGGGAUAAAUUUAUUAAUUUACUCUACGGAAAAAUGUUAAAUAUCAAUUAGAUCUAACAAUAAUGGAAACAUAAUUUUACUUGAUACAUCUUACAACAUAACAAAUACAUACACUUAUUACAAAAAAAUAUUAUGAAAAUAAAAUACUACGUGUAUCUUUGAUAGUUGGACAUAUUAGAUGAACUUGCAACGGGAUCUUGAUUACCACCGUCACUCAAACCAGCUAAAGGAAAUUUUUCGAUAUUCUUGUCAUGAACAUGCUAGCAUAUGUCAUAUUUACGCGCAUAAACAGUAUCACCAAUAUCUAUUUGGUUUCGUAUACGCGUUCUUUUUUGUACUUGCAGCUUACGCAAAUAGUCCUUGUUAUACACCAUUUUAAAUGGUUCCAACGGCCAAUAAUUCUCAGCACCCAUUAGCUGUAACUGCCAACUCAUGUGUUUAAGCAUGCAGCAACACUGUAUUGCCUAUCAACAUAGUUGGUUGCCCCUAAACCUUUGUGUUGAAAGAACUUCAUGGAAUGUGAGUACGACAUAUAGUAGAUGGUCUAUUUUUCACAUGAAUACAACAUGCUGGCUUCAUUUACGGUGUGUAUAUUAUUCCUCCAAUGUUGAUGGAUAGCAGUGCUAAUUUCAAAAUUAUUUUUCUCAUUUUAAUACUAUAAAAAUGAAUGCUAGUGUGAUCGCCUCAUGUAUUUCUCAAAUCUUUUUAUUGGUAUUGGCAUAAAUUCAACACCCCGUUCAUCAUGCACCUAUAUGAUUUUCAACAAACCUUUCUGCCAUAUUUUUGAAUGACAUCUGCAUCAUGGCAGUUACAGGUAAUCCACAUGCAGACUUCAAUAACCCGUUGAAACACUCUGACACAUUUGUAGUCAGGAUUCCCCAUUGUCCGCCACAUUCUGUAUGCAAUAUCCACUUGUGAAGCUCCUGUCACAUCAACGAAUGAUAGGCUCUUUCGUCUAACUACCGAAUCGAUUUCAUGCGCCUCCUGAAUUUGCACAGCUGGUGGUCAGUUUCUUCCAUCCACAUUAAAUCAUGCAAGUCCUUGUUGGAAUAUUUCUUCUAGAAAUUGACCUUCAGGUGUCUCACACAGUAACAGUGGCAUGCAUAGGGUUCCUGCCAUUCAAGAAAAUGUUCUACAAACUUAAUAUACCACCAUGUUGAUUAGAUAUUAGACAAAUACCUGAAAGUUAUUUGACAACGUGCUGCUUCAAGUGGUUCAAAAUUUGUGUCCGCAUCUCUUGGCUUUUAUUAGCACAGAUGGCAAAAGUUAGUGGAAAUAUUUGUUCAUUGGCUUCUACUACAACGUCGAUCAACAGCUUAAUAUCAUACUUUUCAUAGACAUAAGUACCGUCUAUGAAGAUUACCAGAAGGCAAUGCACAAAAUCAUCAAUUGCUGGUUUAAAUGCCCAGAACACGUAUCUAAAUAUAUUUUGGUAUUCUUGCACUCCACUAAAGCUUUCAUUCAACAACAGUCUCGGGGUUAAAGUAUUUCAAUAUGGCCAUGUACCUAGGUAUAGAUGCAAAUGACUUAUCCCAGUCACCAUAAACAAUUUCAAAUGCACGUUUACGCCCAAGAUAUGCCUUUCUUUUGGUAAUAGUACACCUAUAUUCCUGGUGGAUGAAUGUAAUACACUCUUUGAUCUUGUACCUUAUGGACGCUUCAAUGUAGGGAAUCAGUUGAAGAGAAAUCAAGUAAACAUCCAAGUUGAAGUGAUUCCCAUUGAAUGUGUCCAUUUCGCAAAUGUGGGUGCUAAUAUAUUUACCCAUUUUCCACAAUCCUGUUUAUUUCUUGGUCGCACACAGCAUCCGGUGACAACCCGUAAAUCAAUUACGGGAAACAACCUUGUAGACAUCCGAACUUAACUCGCAUACUAUCAUAUCACGACAGUCUCUUACGCUGUACAUUUUUGCACCCCUGGUUAGGCAAGAUUUAUUAGGAAAAAUCAUGCCAUUUGCUAGUACCGUUGGUCUAGACUCAUCCCAUAUUAUUGUCUGAAAUUCGCCAAGAUCCCUUGUGAGGGCAUCCACAUAUGGAAUACUUGGAAAAUGAUAAAAGUAGAGAAUAUGCCUUGAAUAAAACGACAUGUGGGACUCGUACCCUCUUGGUCUAGCAGGAGGUGGAGCAUGCUCCCUCGUCAGCUCAGGUUUGACAUUCUCUUCCUCCUUCUCAUCAACCUCGUCACAAAAGCAUGUGUCAUCUUACUCAUCUAAAUUGUUGUCAUAAUCACUAUUAACUUCUUGUCUCUAUGCAUCUGCCAAAUUUCGAGUAAAUACGCUGCCGACGGCUAAUUAAGUGAGGUCAGGACCAUCAAGUUACUCGUUUUCACUGCACAAACAAUAGAAUAAUAAGCUACUCAAAUUGAUAAAUACUUUAAUAUAGCCAUAUCACUUAACUUACAAGUUUUAUUGUGUUGACAUUUCAUGAUAGACAUUAGACUAUUGAUGAUGACUCCCGGAUGGACCAUCGUGAUCCAACACACACCAAAACUACGCAUAUUCCAACUGAGUGCGGGUUCAUAACUAGUAAAAUUCAUAUUUGGACAGUACACCUUGUGGAAUAUAUGAUUGUUAAUACAAAUUCGAUACAACAAAAAUAAACAUUGUAACACAAAAGAAAAUUGAAGUUUACCGGUCGUCUGGUGGAUUAUGUAAAGUGGGAUAGAAAUUAUUUCCUCGCUCCUCGUUCUCCCCUGGAGAUAAAUUAGAUCAUGCCAAAUUCUUUCAGCCAGAACCUUUUGGGCUAAAGCUGCGCCAGAAUAAACACCCGAUGAUUAAGAGCUAUCCCUGCUUUGCGCAACAUCAUUAUUGCAAACUUCUUCAACCUUCACGUACAUUUUCAAUAUUUUUAUCAAAAUAAGUUCCCAGUAUUCAUUCGGAGUCCGCAAAAAAUCUCUCAGAGUUUCAUCGUCAUCAAUAUUAAACUCUGCAUAACAAGCAACCCCUUGCGGAGUCACAGAAUACGGAUAUCUUCCGGUUAUUUUAAGAUUCAUCCAACGUUUUAUUUUAUUGCUUAACAACAAUAUCAGUCUAUCGUACUCCAUUGUAAGUGAAAAUUUAACAUGACUUUGUGGAGAUAAACUAUAGCUUAUUGAGUUAUUCGCAACCACAACCUCACCCCCUCCCCCUCCCCCCAAUAUAAUGAAUCGUUACUUUCCGCUCUUCAUACAUUACGAAAAAAGUUCGAGAAUUUAUCAAGAAAAAAAUUUAUUACGAAAUUGAAGUACUUCUGAAUGAUUUUUUCAAAACCCUUAACGCAUUUAAAUAAGAUAAUGCCCAAUUUAGUGAGAAGAGGGNNNNNNNNNNNNNNNNNNNNNNNNNNNNNNNNNNNNNNNNNNNNNNNNNNNNNNNNNNNNNNNNNNNNNNNNNNNNNNNNNNNNNNNNNNNNNNNNNNNNNNNNNNNNNNNNNNNNNNNNNNNNNNNNNNNNNNNNNNNNNNNNNNNNNNNNNNNNNNNNNNNNNNNNNNNNNNNNNNNNNNNNNNNNNNNNNNNNNNNNNNNNNNNNNNNNNNNNNNNNNNNNNNNNNNNNNNNNNNNNNNNNNNNNNNNNNNNNNNNNNNNNNNNNNNNNNNNNNNNNNNNNNNNNNNNNNNNNNNNNNNNNNNNNNNNNNNNNNNNNNNNNNNNNNNNNNNNNNNNNNNNNNNNNNNNNNNNNNNNNNNNNNNNNNNNNNNNNNNNNNNNNNNNNNNNNNNNNNNNNNNNNNNNNNNNNNNNNNNNNNNNNNNNNNNNNNNNNNNNNNNNNNNNNNNNNNNGGGGGGGGGGGGGGGGAGGGAGGGAAGAGAGGACGUUGAGGUAAAACACCUUUCAAAAAUGUAUUUUACAUAGACUCAAAAAAGUCAUUGGUCGAUGGGAAGAGCAAAAAUGGGACGAGAGUAGGCCCCAUUCCCGUACUCUUGGAUUGGACUAUUCUGGAAAGUAUUUCCUUUUAUUGCUAUUAUUCCUAUUUCCUUUUUCUGAAACCGAACCUUAUUGCCCUUGUUCCUGGCCCUGAGCCCCUACUCACAAUAAUUUCCCAUCCUCUUAUUUUUCCGAAUUACCCCUGUCCACUACUAAUUUACCUUUCUUUUUUACCCUAAUGGUAAAAAACAAGAUAAAAACAAUUGCACUGACACUAACAUGGUGAAAAAUCCAGGAGUCGAACACAAAAUCUAAUGAGAGUGCAUAUCUGAAUAACGACGAAAAAUAAAAGGGUCAAAUUUGUCAAUGUAUUUAUUCGAAAUUGAGUAACUUUUCAUACCUUAAAUUGAUAAGUAUAAUAUUAUCCACCCAUCAGAAAAGGUUUUAUUUUUGUGCUUGAUCUCUAGAGCUUCAAAUUUUAAGGUAAUUUAAAAAUUAUAGGAAAAAUUAGUUGAUCUGAGAUAAACAUGAAUAUCUUUUUUCAAAGAAUUUAAAAUCGGGAAGUCUAAAAAUUUAAUGUUAUAGGUCUACCAAAGAUGAAGGCAAAUAAGAGAUCAUUUGACAAUAGGCUAUGAAUCAACUAAUAUGUAAUAUUAAGAGGAAAUUUUAACAAUUUCGUAUAAAUAAGAGUAAUUUUAAACCUUUUUAUAAGGAGGAGAUGAUAAUUACUGGGGUUGAAAAUUCGAGCUCAAAUUCAUUUGACCGUCUAAUCCGCUGAAGGUUGGUCUGGUCAAUGAUCUGCCUAAUUGUUGAACUCAACCUAUCUUAACCUAACUCAUUUUAGCACAUCUAUGGUUUGGCUGACUAUUAACCCGAAUUUGAUCCAUGAGUAAUUUCGCUAAAAUAUUUAAGAAUAAAUUAUAUUUUAUUUAAAAUAUUAUAUAUGACAAUAAAAAAGAAAAAAAAUUAUUUGAAAAUUAAAUAAUUCAUAAGAAAAUAAUACACAUAAAUUAAAGCUUGAUAAAAUUGAGCGUGUUGGACUAUGAACAAAUUGUAGCCUUAGUAGACUCAACCAAUUAACCCAAGUUAUUUUUAAACAAAUCAUUUAAUAUGAUAUUUAUUGACUUAACCCAUUUAACCCGUCCAAUAUCAGCCGCCCAUCUGACCGAGAUUGAGUCGUAACCAUUCAUCAAGUCUUGGUGCUUUCUAUUUCCAUAAGUGGGGAAGUAUAAAAAAUAAAAAGAGGAAAAAAAUUAAGGUUGGUGAUUAUGGGUGGACAGGAUGCUUUUCGAUUUGGUUAACGUCAGAGAGUUGAAGAAGAAAGAGAUUUUUUGUUUUUCUAUAUUUCCAUAACUUUUGGUGUUCUUUCUUUUUCUUUUUUAACCUUUAGAUUCUUUGGCCUAUAAAAAUAUAUCAGAUAAAUUUUGAUAUCAGAAAAGUUGCUGGUACUAAGUCUUCCUUUCAUUAAAGUGUAUAAAGACUAAAGAGAAAGGUUAAUUGCAUAGCCUUAAACAGAUAAUACUAAAGCAUGAGUCCAAGAAACAAAGAAAAAAUUAUAUAGGAAUGACAAGAGGGAAAAAAAGGAGUUUCUAGAUAUUACAACAUCCGUUUUAUUUAUGAACUAUGAGAUAUUGUUUAUUUAGUCUGUCUCUAAAAAUGAUGCAUUUUUAUGGUUAAAAAUUUUUAACUUUAAAUUUUUCCAUUUUCCAUGGUACUUUUGAUAUCAUAUAUUGGAAAAUAGAAGAUAUUCCUUUGUUCCAAAUUGAUGUGAUCCUCUUUUUGUAUGCUAAAAAAGAAAUAAUUUUUUUUUAAAUUUGAAAAUAAUUUAAUUUAAAAUUUUCAUUACCUUAAUAAUAAGCUUCUACAAUCAUUUUAAUAUUACGACAUGUUUAAAAUUAUAAGUUUAAAAAAAUUAUAACCACAUAAAUAUUAUAAUUAACAUAUGUAAAAUCAUAUAUUUUUUUAAAAAAUAUUCUCUCUUUUUCAAUUUAUGUGAACCUAUUUGAUCGGGCAUCGAAUUUUAAAAAAUGAAGACUUUUGAAAUUUAUGGUCAUAAACAAGUCAAAAAAGGUUAUUAAUAUUUGUGUAAUUUAUAAAACUUUUCAGUAUAAAUAAAAUUAAAAGUUUACACUAAAUUAUUUUUAAUUUAUAAAGAAGCCAUUCUUUUCUAAAUAAACAAAAAGAGAAUAUCAUUUUCUUUCUUAAAUUAUGUCUCCUGCCAAACAGGAUCAUAGGUUUGGGGGUUUGGGGGGAGGGGGUUUCUAGCUAGAACUAGGGUGUGGGUACGUUUAUUAACGUUGGUGUGGCUGCUUUCGGCUUAUUCUUCCCAAAUUCCCAAACUAGCCUGUAUUCGGCAGCUAAAAGAUAAUGUGAAUAACACCAACAAAAAAAAAUCAAGUAAAAUAAGAAAAUCAAGUAAUAAAAUACUUCUAGUACAGAAAAUAGAGGGGACAUAUCUAUCAUCUCUCUCUUCUGAAAACCUUUCCUCAACAACUUAACAUCUCUAUAAGUCGUAGGUUUUCAUGUUCAUACAAUUCUCAGCAAAAAAUCUUUACUUUUUUUUCGCCAUUUCUUAUUCAACUCUUCCUUACACAUCUAUUUAGACAAACGUGCAAAACAGGUCAUAAGAAUAUUUAUAGGUUAGGCAGCAACUAAUAACUAGUUUUUGUACAAACCAUAGCCAUAGCAAUAAGAGCUAUAACUACCUCUUUUCCUACCUCUUUCAUGGCUACCAUUCAUUCUUGUUUUGUCCAUAAGUCGCCUUCAUUAUAUUGAAUCCAAUUCGACAUUUAGAUUCUGACCAUUGAACCCAAUGCAUAUUUAAUAUUUGGCAAAUUUUUAGUGAUUUUCAUAUUUAUUUUCAUAUUUCUGUUUCAAAAAUAUUGUGUUUAGUUUAACCAUUAAUUAUACUCUCCUUCAUCGCUUGUAAAGAGAGGAACUUUGCGUUCUUAGCUUAUUUGUGUAUUGAAAAAAAUGUGGAAUCUAAACGAUUCUCCCAAUCGAAGAAUGGAAGAUGAAUCAGAAGAAGGAUGUUCUUCUCCUAUAGAACUUAAUGAGAAAGGUAAACGGGUCGGAUCGGUCUCAAACUCAAGUUCAUCAGCUUUGGUUAUUGAGGAAGGUAAUAAUUCUGAGGAAGAAGAAGAUCGUGAAAAAGGUAAGAAAAAGAGAAAUACACCGAGUAAAAUUUUUGGGUUUUCAGUUAACGAUGACAACUUCGCGUCGGAGAGUGAACCGCCGGUUACUCGGCAGUUUUUUCCGGUUGAUGAGUCAGAAAUGGGAGGUGGGACCAUGAAUUUUCCAAGGGCUCAAUGGGCUGGAGUUAAAUUUUGUCAAUCGGAGCCACGUGGCAACACUAUAGCGGGAAACCCUACUGAGGUGUCUCAGCAGCAGCAGCCAAUUAAAAAGAGCCGCCGUGGACCGCGGUCUAGGAGUUCACAGUACCGUGGUGUUACCUUUUACCGGCGGACUGGCCGGUGGGAGUCACACAUAUGGUUAGUAUCAAUUAUUUUCUUUCUACUAGUGUAAUUUUAUGCCGGGCAAUAUAAAUAAUUUUUACACUAUUGAUUAAGUUGAUUUAUAACAAUCUGUAAUACAUUCAAAGUAUCAAGUAUGAUAUGAUGACUUAGAGAAUCGAAUAAAUAACAUUAGAAUUGUUUAUCUAAAUUACGCUAAUAGUGUACUUUUUUUCUUGUCUAUGCAUAUAAUUUAAUAUUUUCUCUCAAUAUUGCUCAUUCACAUUUUUUUGUGUUGUUCAUUCUCCAAAACUGAAUUUAUUAUUCAGACUUGAUUUCUUUGCUUAAUCUUUUUACAGGGAUUGUGGGAAACAAGUUUACCUAGGUAUUUUUUUUUUCAUUCAAAAAUUUUAAUUAAAUUGCAGUUUUUAAAUUUAUCAAGAUUCUUUUGCUAUUGUUUAUGUUCUUGAAGAUCAAUCUGAUAUUGGUGAACGGGGGUUUAUUUUCCUCGUGUACCAUCUGUGUAGGUGGAUUUGAUACAGCACAUGCAGCAGCGCGGUGAGUUCUUGAUUCUUGACAGUAAUUUUCAAUUUUCUUUGUCUCCAAGACAAGAGACAGAGGAUGUAUUUGGUACGAGGAAAGUCAAUUUAAACGUGUUUGGUACGAGAAAUAUUUUGUUUCCAGUCUUACCAAAUACAUCCAAAAAUUUAAAAUCAAAUGUUUUGGAGAGUGAAGGUUGGCAAUGUUGUGUUACAGUGCAUAUGAUAGAGCAGCAAUCAAGUUCCGAGGAGUGGAGGCAGACAUAAACUUUAAUUUGGAGGAUUAUGAGGCAGACUUAAAACAGGUAGGUCAUGAUCAUCAUAUAUAAAUUCAGAAUUUAAACCUGAUGCAUUAAACUGUUAAGAUUUUUUAUACAAAAUUAAUUAUUGCACAUUUUAAAUUAUAAGUAAAUUACAAAUUUCUUAUAAGUUAUGUGAUUUAUUCCGCAUAUACUUACGUUGGAUAUCCAGAACUUAACUCUAUCAUAGUCAGAUCAGAGUGGCAGACUAAAAAAGCAUGCCUAUGUUUGAGUCUGUCUGGUUGGAGUACUACUUAAGAUUUCACACUUGCCUUAUCAUAAACAGUUUCCUACCUUAUCAUCAACAGUAGUUUGCUUCACAUUUUUGGUGUCAAAAAUUAGUGGACAUAAUGAAAUUGGAAACAUAACUGUUGACAUUCUUUUUUUCUCAAUAAUUUGUUCAUGUUUUUGGGGUAUGUUACAGAUGACCAAUCUAACCAAGGAAGAAUUUGUGCAUGUACUAAGGAGACAAAGUACUGGUUUUCCGAGAGGAAGCUCCAAGUAUAG